GACGAACGCUGGCGGCGUGCUUAACACAUGCAAGUCGAACGGUGACGGAGAGCUUGCUCUCCUGAUCAGUGGCGAACGGGUGAGUAACACGUGGGCAACCUGCCCCAGACUUCGGGAUAACGCUUCGAAAGAGGUGCUAAUACCGAAUACGAACGCCGUGGGCAUCCACGGUGUUGGAAAGUUUUUCGGUCUGGGAUGGGCCCGCGGCCUAUCAGCUUGUUGGUGAGGUAAUGGCUCACCAAGGCGACGGCGGGUAGCCGGCCUGAGAGGGCGACCGGCCACACUGGGACUGAGACCCGGCCCAGACUCCUACGGGAGGCAGCAGUGGGGAAUAUUGCGCAAUGGGCGAAAGCCUGACGCAGCAACGCCGCGUGGGGGAUGAAGGCCUUCGGGUUGUAAACCUCUUUCAGCAGGGAAGAAGCGAAAGUGACGGUACCUGCAGAAGAAGCACCGGCUAACUACGUGCCAGCCGCCGCCGUAA
rnacentral:rRNA from 1 species